rnacentral:rRNA from 1 species
UACGUAGGGACCAAGCGUUGUCCGGAAUCAUUGGGCGUAAAGAGCGUGUAGGCGGCUUGUUAAGUCUUGCGUGAAAUCUCGGGGCUCAACCCCCGAGCGGUCGUGAGAAACUGGCAGGCUAGAGUGCGGGAGAGGAGAGUGGAAUUCCUGGUGUAGCGGUGAAAUGCGCAGAUAUCAGGAAGAACACCCGUGGCGAAGGCGGCUCACUGGCCCGAUACUGACGCUGAGGUGCGAAAGCGUGGGGAGCAAACAGG